GAUGAACGCUGGCGGCGUGCCUAAUACAUGCCAGUCGAGCGAACAGACGAGGAGCUUGCUCCUCUGACGUUAGCGGCGGACGGGUGAGUAACACGUGGAUAACCUACCUAUAAGACUGGGAUAACUUCGGGAAACCGGAGCUAAUACCGGAUAAUAUAUUGAACCGCAUGGUUCAAUAGUGAAAGACGGUUUUGCUGUCACUUAUAGAUGGAUCCGCGCCGCAUUAGCUAGUUGGUAAGGUAACGGCUUACCAAGGCGACGAUGCGUAGCCGACCUGAGAGGGUGGUCGGCCACAUUGGAGCUGGGACACGGUCCAGACUCCUACGGGAGGCAGCAGAAGGGAAUCUUCCGCAGUGGGCGAAAGCCUGACGGAGCAACGCCGCGUGAGUGAUGGAGGUCUUCGGAUCGUAAAACUCUGUUAUUAGGGAAGAACAAAUGUGUAAGUAACUAUGCACGUCUUGACGGUACCUAAUCAGAAAGCCACGGCUAACUACGUG
rnacentral:rRNA from 1 species